UACGUAGGGGGCAAGCGUUGUCCGGAUUUAUUGGGCGUAAAGAGCGUGUAGGCGGCUUUACAGGUCCGUUGUGAAAACUCGAGGCUCAACCUCGAGACGCCGGUGGAAACCGUAAGGCUAGAGUCCGGAAGAGGAGAGUGGAAUUCCUGGUGUAGCGGUGAAAUGCGCAGAUAUCAGGAGGAACACCCGUGGCGAAAGCGGCUCUCUGGGACGGUACUGACGCUGAGACGCGAAAAGCGUGGGGAGCAAACAGG
rnacentral:rRNA from 1 species